ACUUAUUUACCUGCUGUUUUUAAAAAUUAAUUAACUAAUUAAUUAAUUCUGGCUUCGUGGUAUCUAUUUUUGAGCACCUGCAGAAUGCAUAUCCCUGCAGUAGGUGUUUAUUUUCCUGUCAGGAUUUUGGGUCAAGAGCUCAAUGCCCUUUGUCAUCCUUUUAUUUCCUACAGAUACCAAUUCAUGUAAUUAUGGGCAUGAUGUAAUUUAAACUCUUUGCAAAUUACCAAUGACCCAAAAUAUGAUGUGCUCUGCUACUUAGUUUUCUGUGCAUUAAAGUCCCCGUUAGUUAUAUCUUGUCAUCUCCCCCAGAAAUCAAGGCGGUGGAAAAGUAAGCGUGAGGGAUCAGACUCUGGCAAUCGACAGAUCAAGGCUGCUGGGAAAGUCAUCAUCCAGGAUGUUGCAUGCCUCCUUCCUGUUCACAAAGCACUGGGAGAACUGUACAUGAACUCCACAGAAGAGCUGGUUGGCAAAUUAGUAUUUGAGUAUGGUCUCCUCUCCUGACUCCAAAGAAACUGAAUGUGACUGAUAUUCAGGAAACAUGUCAGAAGAAUGCCACUUCUGCCUUGCUUGUUGGAAGAAAGGACCUUGUCCAGGUAUUGU